GCAGAGUCUAAUAGUUUGCAGUUUUCAUGUGUUUUUUUUUUCCUAAAUUGAGACAUAUUUUAAAUGUCUGUCUGCAUUUUUUAUGACAGAUUUGAUCCUCCUGGACGUGGAUGAUCCCAGACGGCCACAAAUCUGUGCAGAGAUGUUCUUUACACAUAAUUCUCUUCAGCUGUUCUUCGCUGCAGCAUCGUUAGAACUCAGCUUGGAUUCGAGUCAGGCGGCAUACUUGGCCUUCGUUUUUUUUUUUUUUUUUUUUGCUUUCUGCGCCUCCUACCCGCUGCUGCAGCUGUGUUUCCACUUAUGUUCAGUAGCCUGGGCAUGCUUUGGUGCCGUCUCUCAUCCCUAAAAAGUCUCACAUUCUGAUGUCUUAUUUGUUCUAGCAGUUCUUUAUCAUGUGGAGCUGUUGUCGCACCAGAACGUUUUUGUAUUGUAAAUAAAUUAAGACAGGAGUAGGGCUGAAACGGUAGAACGCUGAUGCAGACAAACCUCCAUCAGAGAAACCUGGAAAGAAUAGAAGGUGUUGGUCAGUCAAAGUGGAAACAGGAAGAUACAGGGAAGGUGAUCACCAGUAGGUUCCUUCAUAGGGUUAUCUUGGUGUCUGCAAUGAUGAUUUAUGAUUUACACGAUUGACAAUUUUCUCUUAGAGCAGGGGGUGUAAGUAGUGAACUGGUGGUUUAGUUUAUCAAAUGAUUUUAGUUUGGUUUGCAAGUACAGCAACCUUUUUCUCGUUAGCGCUAAGUUUGCACGUUGCAGGCACCAAUUUGUGGAUCAAACGGCUGAAAAUUAAAAUUAUCCGACUCAUUUUGUUCCUGGUAAUGGAUGUUUAAUCACAUGAAGUUGGAGGCUCUGUCUGCUGCCUAUAAAGCCUUUUAAAGUUCACCAGAUUAAAGGACUCUUAGCAGCACUUUGUCUUAAAUUCUGACGUUAAACUUUAAUGUACAAAAGCGGGAAAAUAAAGGACGUAAUAUUGCUUCCUUUGUACAUGAGCAUCAUACUGUUUAUGCACUACAUCACUGUGUAGAAGCACAUGUCAGACUUAUAGCAGCUCUCCUGUCCAAUCUGCUCUUUCUACGUUGGAUUAAAUCACAAGCGAAGUGACUCAUCAAAGGCCACCACGUCUCCAUAAAACUGCUGUCUUUCAAACAGCAGCUUGAAAUGGAAAAAACUCUGGUAUGUUUUAGGCCCGUUAAAGUGGUGCUUCGUCAAUGAGCUGCUGCACAAGUCGGGUCAAACUCAGGCAGCGGUUGCUGAGAUCAGACCUUCGGCCUCGAGUUCAACCAGAAUGUUUUGCCUCAGAUUUUACAAACCACCUCCAGAGUUGCAUUAUAGUAGUGAACUGCUUGAGUUUCCUGCAAAAAAACAAAACAAUUUAUCAUCAGAUCAUCAUCAUUCGAAGUGAUUUCAAGCUGCAGAGUGACUGUGUGGCCUGCAGCACAUAGAACCACUGCUGCUGCCGCCCGGUCAUAGGAGGCGAUUGUUCUCUCACAGUCAGACGGUUUAGAAGCCCGGAGGAUGGCAGCUCCCCCGGGAUCGGCUUCAGCACCAUAUGCUCACUGGUUCCGUUGAAUCUCUCUCACGCCAACUGUUGCUCUGCGCUAACCUUUAACCUCAGAAUUCAUAUGCAGCCACAGCUGAUGCGUUUGGUGGCAGAACUCCUCCCUCUUCUCUGAUUCUCUUUCUUUUCUUUUUUUUGUCCCUUUACCCGCUAAAACGAAGUCUGUUAAUUUGGUCGGGCCGUCAUCUGUCGAGUUCAGUUAGCAGACUGCGGUGAUGUGCAGGAGUUGGACGGAGGGAGGAGUUCCCACAGUCACUAAGUCUGAGUGCUUCCAAAAACACAGGUUCUCACAAUAUUGUGUUUGGAGUGUGUUUUUUAAAGCUCAGGGGAAGUUUUUCCUUCAGCUGAGUCGUGUGUUUGAUGAGACAGACUGUAAUUUAAUUUGGCUGAAUAAUCCCCCCCCACAGUGGACUCACCUGCUUCCUCUCAGACGUCCACACCUCAGGAACAGAACUCCAAAAUCACAGGGACGGAUGUGUUUGAGGAACAAACUGUAUGUUGUGUGUCUGAAACAGGGCUUCACUGAAAUCCACAAAAAGUAGAAUUACUACAAUAAAACAGAGUGUUUGCAGAAUAGCAAAUGUUCACACUAAUAAACA